UGCAGAAUCCCGUAACCAUCGAGUUUUUGAACGCAAGUUGCGCCCUAAGCCAUCCGGCUGAGGGCACGCCUGCCUGGGCGUCA
rnacentral:rRNA from 1 species